AUUGAACGCUGGCGGCAGGCCUAACACAUGCAAGUCGCACGAGUGGCGGACGGGUGAGUAAUGUCUGGGAAACUGCCUGAUGGAGGGGGAUAACUACUGGAAACGGUAGCUAAUACCGCAUACCAUACGAUGUGCCCCAAUGGGAUUAGCUCGUUGGUGGGGUAACGGCUCACCAAGGCGACGAUCCCUAGCUGGUCUGAGAGGAGGACCAGCCACACUGGAAAUGAGACACGGUCCAGACUCCUACGUGAGGCAGCAGUGGGGAAUAUUGCACAAUUGGCGAAAGCCUGAUUCAGCCAUGCCGCGUGUAUGAAGAAGGCCUUCGGGUUGUAAAGUACUUUCAGCGGGGAGGCGUUACCCGCAGAAGAAGCACCGGCUAACUCCGUGCCAGCAGCCGCGGUAAUAC
rnacentral:rRNA from 1 species